CCAGACAUACAUCUCGCAGGACUCCGAGACAGGCUAGCUUUAAUCUUCCUUUCUUGUAUGUACAACCUUUACAAAACCCUCGUGUGGCCAAUCUUGGAACGGAAGGCAAUGGAGUUGCCACUGUGAGCGCAAGCGACGAGAACAACAAGUGGCCGGGGAGAGCCAAGUCUUGACGCCUUGAGCCUCCAGCGAUGACCACGACCCCAGAACGGACAACUGAUGGAUGGGGGAGGAAGGAUGGAGAUUGUGUAUUGUAUUCAAUGCAGUGUUUGCUUUACGGCUUGAAAAAGGCAUUAGCCCACAUCGAGAAUGGGAUUACUGGAGUUAUUGGGUGACAGUCGUGUGACCAAUCCAAGAACGGAAGGCAAUGGAGUUGCCACUGUGAGCGCAGUAAGGGACGAGAACAACAAGUGGCCGGGGAGAGCCAAGUCUUGACGCCUUGAGCCUCCAGCGAUGACCACGACCCCAGAACGGACAACUGAUGGAUGGGGGAGGAGAGAUGGAGAUCGUGCAUUGUAUUCAUAGCAGUGUUUGCUUUACAGCUUGAAAAGGGCAUAAGCCAACAUCGAGAAUGGGAUUACUCAAGGAAAACUAUAUCAUUCAUCGUCUACAAUAGUAUAUACCAUCGUAUAGCAUACGGAUAUUACACCCCCUAUGUUUGGUUGCUCGCGGGGUCUGGAAUUAAACGUCUUAAUUAUAGAUGUCGCACAAGUCAUCUGUUUGUAUUGCAUCCAGAUAUAUCAAAAAUUUCUGCCACAGAAUCACAGUUUUGUAUUGAAGCUCUCGGUGAAAACUUUGAAAUUCAUUUUUUAAAAUAUAAAAUAUUUAAAAAUCCCUUACCUUGCAUGUAAUGCAGAAUGUUUUAGAAAGAGGACGAUGAAGUAUUGUUCUGUUCCCGCCAUACAUAUCUGUUUUGUUUCAAUAGCGUGCAUUUAAUGUGUUGCUUAUUAUGUUGUUCUAUCUCACGCGCUCCCAAUUUGAUCUCUCUUUUCGUUAGGUUUACCCGCUGGUAAAAUGAGAAACGAUUACUGACAAAAUAAAUCGACUUACGACUUAAUCUUAAAUUAAGUCAACUGAAGAAUAAUACAAUAUAUUUUUGCUUCAGUUUGAGUUUUAUAGCUUUUGUAAGAUUAUUAUUAUAUUCUACAAAGUGGCAGUAAGAAGGGAAAUUUCAAGACAGCCUAAGAGGACAAAAUAAACUAAGAGGACAUCUCGGCGAUAUAAA